rnacentral:rRNA from 1 species
AUGACUUUUCCUGACUCACCAAUCACCCCCGUCGUGCCUGUGCCUAUUCGUUCCACUCCCUCUGCUUCUCCACCUCUAGUCGAUUUGCAGCCACCAUCUUCUCCGGUCUCCUCGCCUAGCAUGUCACCGGAUUCUACACCUUCAUCUCCGGUGACUUCUUCGUCGCCACCCCCUGAUUCUACCUUGGCGAUUCCUCCUUCUAUUGUUCCCUCUUUUCCUCAGCAUUACACUCGUCGUUCACGACCUGUGGAUGCCUCAUUGGAUGAGUCGUCCUCUUCCUCUCAGCCUACUUAUGGCUUGCGUUCUCGUCCUCGUCCGCCUGUUGAUCGCUUUGGAUUUCCCACCGCUGGUGCUGCUGUUCUUGAGCCGACUUCUUACCGUCAGGCUGUUGUUCAUCCUGAAUGGCAGUUUGCGAUGGCAGAGGAGAUUGCUGCUCUUGAACGCACUGGUACCUGGGAUCUUGUUUCUCUUCCUCCCGGAGUCCGUCCCAUCACUUGUAAGUGGGUCUACAAGGUUAAGACUCGCUCCGAUGGUUCUCUUGAGCGUCACAAAGCUCGUCUUGUGGCUCGUGGUUUUCAGCAGGAGCAUGGUCGUGAUUAUGACGAGACUUUUGCUCCUGUGGCCCAUAUGACCACUAUUCGUACACUUCUUGCCGUUGCCUCUGCACGCCAUUGGUCUAUAUCUCAGCUUGAUGUUAAGAAUGCCUUUCUUAAUGGUGAGCUGCGUGAGGAGGUGUACAUGCAGCCACCAGGGCGUGGGUAG